AGGCAAAGCAAGAAUUGCUGCUGAGAAGCUGGGCUUGGCUUGCCCAGAGCAAACUUUGACCUUUGUAACCGGACACCGCAGCCUCAAGGUCCGACCUGCAGCCGCUGCUCAGCCACCGAAGUUUUCCUAGCAAAAUGUAGUAGAGGGACCACCAGCGCCACCACCUGUGUGAUCUUAACCUGAGCCUCAGGUGGUGCCCCCUCUGUAACUUGGGGUUCAUUCAGAAAAUAAGUACUGCAAGUCUGUUUUGUGCUGAACACUGCAGCUGAGCUUUGGGUUACAGCAGUGAAUAAAACAGUGAUUCUGCUCUCAAACAGAAGAUGGACAGCCGCUAGUUACUGAGGACUGUAGCCAAGAGACAGUGUCUCAGUAGGAAAACCGCUCUGAAAAGGGCCAGUAUCCAGAGAACAGAAUGCUUCCUGUUUUCCAUCCUGAAUCCCACUCAGGGUGGACCACGGGGGAGGAAGAUGUCUGAGACAGCAGUGGCCGAUGAUGGCUUGAUCCUUUUCGAAAUGAAAGGAAAACAUCUCCACUCCCAUGACUUCUGCAAUACUGGCUCAAAAACAGCAGCAGCAGCAGCAGGAAUAUGAACUAGAAGCAGGAGAAAGGAAACAUGCAGUUCCCGUGGGGCCCAGCUGCUUUGGAAGCUUAAGCAAGGCGGUGGGAGGAUUGGG